GAUGAAGAACGUAGCGAAAUGCGAUACGUAAUGUGAAUUGCAAAUUCAGUGAAUCAUCGAGUCUUUGAACGCACAUUGCGCCCCCUGGUAUUCCGGGGGGCAUGCCUGUCCGAGCGUCAUUGCUGCCCUCAAGCACGGCUUGUGUGUUGGGCCCCGUCCUCCGAUCCCGGGGGACGGGCCCGAAAGGCAGCGGCGGCACCGCGUCCGGUCCUCGAGCGUAUGGGGCUUUGUCACCCGCUCUGUAGGCCCGGCCGGCGCUUGCCGAUCAACCCAAAUUUUUCUCCAGGUUGACCUCGGAUCAGGUAGGGAUACCCGCUGAACUUAAGCAUAUCAAUAAGCGGAGGA
rnacentral:misc_RNA from 1 species